AAUGUUCUUUUUAUGUUUGGAAGGCUACUUCGCAUAGUGUUGCCAUGUCCACUUACUAUAAGCAGCACUUAUUAUUUAUCUUUGGGCUUGUUGUUUGUGCUCAGCUCAUAAAGCAAACCAGUUUAAUAAAAUAGGCUUUGGUGUGUAGCUUACAUAAGAGUUUUGAUUUAAGUUGAUAAGAGGCUUGUUCUUAUUUGCCAUUGUCUUUUGCUAGCAAGAUCUGGCGACACUAAUAAGCCAAGACGUACUUCAAUCACGGAGAUUUCUUGAGCAGUGCAUACAGACCUUUUUCCUGAGUAAACGAAGAGUGCCGCCAUUACGAAUUCUAACUUCUGAUUGGAUGCUCUUCUGUUCCGGUCUCCAUAGGAACCCAUUCAAAUAGUGCCCAUCCAUUUUUACUGUAGCUAAUGGAAGCUUUGUCUCAUCAUGCGUUUAAAAAACAACUAGUUGUUGUUCUGUACACACGGUGUAGAAUUUCUGUAAAAGCGGUUGCCUCUACCUAAAUUUUCCACAGUUCUUUUGUAGAAUGUGGUUGUCACUCCUGUAAAUGACUGAAGUGUGUGUACACAACAGGAUUAAGCACUAAAGAGUGAAUUGACAACCAAAUUUAGCUGCGGCAGCCUACGUUUUUAUUUUUAGGUUUCAGGUUACAUCGACAAACAAACAGCAGCUAUAUCACUGAACCAGAUCAGGGAGUAGAGUUAAAUUUAGUGUAUUUGCAUGCUAACGGUUUCCUCUUUCGUGGAUGUCAGCAUCAAUUUAGAGACUAACAAUAUGAACUUCCCAUCAUAUUUGAACCAAAACUCCUGCUUCUGCAUUCUGCUCUAAUCCACAGCAACAGUGCUGAUGUGAUGAUUCAGUUCUGCUGGAACUAAUGGCAGACGAAGCGGUGACUAGCACAAUGAACGCUCUGAUGAUUUAGCAUGUCGGGCAUGAACCCAACUUCAACCUCCAACCUUCCUUCACCGGAUGGAUCUCUCCAUUUUUCAUUACUUAACCCCCUUCUUUUUUUAUUUUUUAUCUUCCAAAUCCACCGUAGUCAUUGCACUGCAGAGCAAAAUUAAAUAUGCCCACAUCUUCUCCACCAGUGCUGACCAGAGUUCAGAGAGGAAAGGGAGGAGGGAAAGACUGGCAAAGGUGCAUUACAUAAUCCCAUUGUGAGAUUUCACGGACCUUGUCUUAUAAUAUUUUUACAAAGACUGAAUUUCCUUCUCCCCAGGGAUCUGAAGACCAACUCCUCCAUCUGAUCUGGCAGAGUCAGGUCAAUUUUAUGCUGAUUUUAUGGGUGAGCGGAUGGGAACCACUGCCAGGGAGAGAAAGAGGAACACGAGGGACAGAGAGGGAAAGAGAACAGAAAGAAGAGAUACGCACGGAGACCGAGGGGAUGAUGGUGGAGAUCUGACAGGAAGCGAGUGAGAGACAGAGAGGGAUGUGAUCGGGAGAGGUUCACGAAAUGAGUUCGAAAUGGGAUUCGAACUCGGGACACCUUAAGUGCAACUUCACCAAUUUACCAACUGUUCUGUUCUUUGUUCAAAUAAAUGCACCCUCGGUGAACAUA